AUUAGAUUCAAAAGUGGCUUUAUUGAUUGAGUUAUAGGUGACAAACUGCUGCAGUGCCCCAGGCAGAUGUGAGCACAGCAGGCAUGACGCUAACUCACGCAGCUCCUCCUUAAAAGCCAGUCAGCUUCUGAAGAUCACAUCCUGAUCUGCUCAGCCCCCUGUCCGUGUAGACAAGGGGCGAUCAUGAGAGAAGAAAGCACAUGCUGGGCUCCUCCAGGCAGACCCACUGCCAGCUGACCUAUGCACCCCAGGCUGAAUGAGGAGUCAAGUGGUAUUCAAGAGAAACCAGCGAGCAUAUGGUGAGUGAGGUUGGAUAGUGUCUGCAGUCACUAUGUUGGCUCCAUCAAGCGCUCUCAAGUUUCAGCGGAUGCUGCACAAAAGACUAUGGCUGAACCCUGCAGACAACCGCACCGUGUAGCGUGAGCGAAUUUGAUCUGCCAUGGAGUUAGUGGGAGAACGACAACAUCUCUUCCUCUGUAGGGGCUGGAAGCUGCUGACACACCAGGAUGGUAUGCUGAGUAGGCUCCACAGGGGUCCUCAAUGGGUGAUUGGCUCCUGUGGAGGAGCUGAUAUUGGCAUAAAGCCCAUGUCAAGGGCCAUGGGAAGAGUGAGUCUGAGAGUGUGUGUGUGUGUGUGUGUGUGUGUGUGUGUGUGUGUGUGUGUGUGUGUGUGUGUGUGUGUGUGUGUGUUCAUGUACUUAAAACCU